GAUGAACGCUGGCGGCGUGCCUAACACAUGCAAGUCGAACGGAGUCCAGCCUUUAAGACCUUCGGGUCAAAGAGGGGAAGACUGAGUGGCGGACGGGUGAGUAACACGUGGGCAACCUGGCUCAUAGAGGGGGAUAACAGAGAGAAAUUUCUGCUAAUACCGCAUAAGCACACACUGCCGCAUGGCAGAGGGUGAAAAGAGAAUCGCUAUGAGAUGGACCCGCGUCUGAUUAGCCAGUUGGCAGGGUAAGAGCCUACCAAAGCGACGAUCAGUAGCCGAUCUGAGAGGAUGAACGGCGACAUUGGGAGUGAGACACGGCCCAAACUCCUACGGGAGGCAGCAGUGGGGGAUAUUGCACAAUGGGGGGAACCCUGAUGCAGCGACGCCGCGUGAGUGAAGAAGUAUUUCGGUAUGUAAAGCUCUAUCAGCAGGGAAGAUAAUGACAGUACCUGAAUAAGAAGCCCCGGCUAACUACGUG
rnacentral:rRNA from 1 species